AGGGGGCGGCGGAUGGCCGCAGGCUGAGCAGCGGACUACAUCCUCUGCUCAGCCUGCGGCCAUCCGCCGCCCCCCCU